rnacentral:rRNA from 1 species
GACAGCAGUCGCCGCGGGAAUACAGAGGGUGCGAGCGUUAAUCGGUUUUACUGGGCGUAAAGCGUGCGUAGGCGGCUUCUUAAGUCGGAUGUGAAAUCCCUGAGCUUAACUUAGGAAUUGCAUUCGAUACUGGGAAGCUAGAGUAUGGGAGAGGAUGGUAGAAUUCCAGGUGUAGCGGUGAAAUGCGUAGAGAUCUGGAGGAAUACCGAUGGCGAAGGCAGCCAUCUGGCCUAAUACUGACGCUGAGGUACGAAAGCAUGGGGAGCAAACAGGAUUAGAUACCCGGGUAGUCCCUGUCUCUUAUAC